rnacentral:rRNA from 1 species
CAAUAGCGUAUAUUAAAGUUGUUGCAGUUAAAAGCUCGUAGUUGGAUUUCUGGUGGAGAAGCUCCGCCCUCACGCGAGUGCGCGGAGGCUCUCUACCAUCCUUCUGUUAACCCUCGUGGUCCUUUAUUGGAUGCUUGGGAGCCCAGAUAUUUUACCUUGAGAAAAUUAGAGUGUUUCAGGCAGGCUUUCGCCCGGAUACAUUAGCAUGGAAUAAUAGAAUAGGACUUUUGCCUCUUCUGUUGGUCUGAGGGGUCGAAGUAAUGAUUAAUAGGGAUAGUUGGGGGCGAUUAGUACUUAACUGUCAGAGGUGAAAUUACUUGGAUUUGUUUAAAGAACUAACUUAUGCGAAAGACAUUUGUCCAAGG